GUCUUCUGGCUUCUGCUCCCAGCACAGCGCCGGCCUGCAGCUCUGAACCCUACCGCCAACGGUGCGGCGCGCGGCCGGCCGGAGCGUAUCCUCGCCGGCUAUCCGGCGCCGCCACCAGGCACCGUCUUCCGCAACUCCAUACCUUCGGGUGCUCACUCCUCCGGGCCCCGACCUCAAGACCGUGUCGGCCGCUCGGCGGAGCCCGUGAAUCCUCAAUCCUCAGGGCUCAGGCUGUCCACUUCCUCAAGACCGUGCGUCAAUCGAGCUCCAGAGCAAGGGCAAGACUCAGCAUGGACUCCCUUCAUCUUGUGCACGUCAAGCUUCUGGCUGCCGACCUUCUCACGCUCACCCCCCGACAUACAUCGCCGGCUUCCUUUGUUCGCUGUGGCCGUACAGUUGCUCGUGCCGAGGUUGUCGGGAUCGUUGUUUCACGUGACCGCAGGGAGAAGUUUCUCCGCUUCCUGGUUGAUGAUGGCACUGGCUGUAUACCGUGUGUCCUGUGGUUGAACCACCGGUACCUGAAUGCAAACAGUUCAUCCGAUUCUGAUCCAACUGGAGAGAUGGCAUUGAAAAUGUCGGAGGUGGUACGCCUGGGCACCCUGUUGAGGGUUCGUGGGAGGAUUGUCAUGUACCGUGGUGCAAUUCAGAUUGCUGCUAGAGACGUGGUUCUAGAGGAGGACCCUAAUGUGGAGGUUCUACAUUGGUUGCAGUGCGUUCACAUGGCCAAGGAAUGUUAUGAUUUGCCACUACCUUCUGCUUGAGUUGUGCCUCGGAGGAUCUCAUGCUCUAUAAUGAUCCCAAAUUGUACGGUGUUUCUUUCUGUGGUUACUGUUGAGCCAACUUCUUCUAACGCGAUCCAGCGUGUUUAUUCAUUAAAGGCAUACAUGGUUAAACUCAACUCGAAACAUGCAAGUCUUGCUGAUGAUAUGAUUUAUCCAGCGGUUAUAUGUCUCCGGAAUAUGCAAUGGAAGGCCUCUUUUCUGUUAAGUCUGAUGUCUAUAGCUUUGGAGUAUUGCUCUUGGAAACUGUAAGUGGUCUAAGGAUUAGCUCAACCCAGAACAUCAAUGAGUUCCCCAACCUUAUAAUAUAUGCAUGGAGUCUAUGGAGGGAAGGGCUGGCAAAAGAUCUUGUGGAUCCAUCUGUUUCAGGGAGCUGCUCGGAUGAAGAAGUUUUGUGUUGCAUUCAUGUCGGGCUCUUGUGUGUUCAGGAUGACUCGGAUGCGAGACCACCCAUGUCAACGGUUUUAACAACCUUGGAGAGUAGAAGCACACCACUUGCAACGCCUGAUAAGCCGCUGUAUUUUUCUGGGAGAAAUAAGGUAGCAAAGAGAGCAGACUAUGGCUAGGACUCUGUGGAUACGGAGACUCUUACAGUAGUAGAGAGACGGUAGGGUCUCGAAGUGAGUUUCGCCCGUGCACCGUUUCUCAGUUGUCCCAACAAUUUGCUAAAGGAUUUAUCUGCCACUGCAAUCACACGCACUGGAGUUCUCCUUUGAUGUGGCAUGGUAUGCCUUAAAGAAAUUCUUGUUUUGUAUUUGUAUUUUCCUCUGGGGUUCCACUGUGAAGUCUGGACUCUGGACUAUUACAGUUUCUAUGUCGUGACGAGUACGGAAUAUUUAUUUUAUGGUAAAAAAAAGACGGAAGUAACAAAGAUUUUCCCUUAUAAGAGAUACAGAAGAAAGGUUGGAUGUGUUUCUGGAUGCU